rnacentral:rRNA from 1 species
CUGCUGCCUCCCGUAGGAGUCUGGUCCGUGUCUCAGUACCAGUGUGGGGGACCUUCCUCUCAGAACCCCUACGCAUCGUCGUCUUGGUGGUCCGUUACACCGCCAACUAACUAAUGCGACGCAUGCCCAUCCGCCACCGGAAUCAACCUUUGGCACCAACAGGAUGUCCCGUCGAUGCAUUAUGCCGUAUUAGACGGAAUUUCUCCCGAUUAUCCGGCUGUGGCGGGCAGGUUGCAUACGUGUUACUCACCCGUGCG